rnacentral:rRNA from 1 species
GGCAGCCAUAUCACCCUGUAGCCCAAGGCUGGUUGCCCACUGAAGCUAAGCAGGGCUGAGCCUGGUCAGUACCUGGAUGGGAGACCUCCUGGGUCUGUGUGGGUCCUAAUGCCC